rnacentral:rRNA from 1 species
AUGGCAGAGGGUGUGAUUCUUUUAGCCGUGACGAAGAUUGGCAUUGCUUUGGGAAAUGAAGUGAUAAAUAAAGCUGGUCCGCUGUUCAGAAACGUCAAAGCACAGGUAGCAGAACUCCAAGGUGGAAUGAGCCGUAUAAGUUGCGAGCUUAGGCUGAUGCAUGAGUUUCUUUGUACAAUGGAUGUACGCAAUCGGAAGGACCAGGCAUAUGGAGUUUGGAUGGAGGAAGUGCGGAAAGUAGCACACCGGAUUGAGGACAUAGUAGAUGAGUAUCUACACCUGGUAGGGAAGAGACAUGAAAUUGGAUGGAGGUUUUAUCUCAUGAAAGGAUUCAAGCAACCAGAAGAUUUGCUUUCUCUAACCCAGAUAGUCUCCCAGAUAAAGGAAGCAGAGACCAGUCUUGUGCACCUAUUCAAAGCAAGAGAACGAUGGGUUCCAAUGGCAAACAACGGCCCUGCUGAUAACUCUGCCUAUAUUGUUGAGAGGUCCCAACAUCUUGCAAGCACUUCUCGUUCUAUCAGUGAAGAUCUUGUGGGGGUCGAGGAAAACAGAAAGAAACUACAGAAGUGGCUAGGGGAUCAUGUGAAGGAACGCUCUAUAGUAGUACUGUAUGGCAUGGGAGGCCUUGGCAAAACUGCUCUAGCUGCAAAUGUGUAUAAUGAGAAGAGAGAAAAGUAUGACUGCCAUGCAUGGGUGUCUGUCUCACAAACAUAUUCUCCAAUAGAGCUCUUGAGGAAACUAUUUAAGGAACUUCACCGUGAUGGGGAAACUGCUCCUUCCGAGAUCACUACAAUGGACUUGAUCAAUAUAAAAGGUAAACUCAGCAAGUUUCUAGAGCAGAAGAGAUACCUGAUUGUGCUGGACGAUGUCUGGAAACAAGAAGCAUUCAGUGAUUUGUUAGGAGAACUUGCCCCAAAUACUAAAGGAAGCAGAAUAGUCAUUACGACGCGCAAUGACGAUAUAGCUCGGCUGGCGUCCAAAGGACGUGCACUAAAAAGUGAAUGCUUGCCAGAUGACAAGGCAUGGUUACUCUUCCGUAGGAAAGCUUUUCGGAGGGAGGAAGAUUAUGAAUGCCCUACAGAGCUGAAGGGCUACUCAGAGCAGAUAGUGGCCAAGUGUAAGGGCUACUCAGAGUAG